rnacentral:rRNA from 1 species
UACGUAGGGUGCGAGCGUUAAUCGGAAUUACUGGGCGUAAAGGGCACGCAGGCGGUCAGCCAAGUUUGGAGUGACAGUUGUCGGCUUACCCGAGAAAGUGCUUCGAAAACUGGCAGACUUGAGAGCUUGAGAGGGAGACGGAAUUCCGGGUGGAGUGGUGAAAUGCGUAGAGAUCCGGAGGAACACCAAAGGCGCAGGCAGUCUCCUGGCAAGUUACUGACGCUCAGGUGCGAAAGCUAGGGGAGCCAACGGG